rnacentral:lncRNA from 1 species
CAAUCGAUUUUCCCUUCACAUCCCAACACUUUGCUAAACUUUCUCCCCUUUCCUCUUCCGCUUCCCCUCCCCUUGGGUUGCAAUGCAGUGCCAUUGCCAGGUACCCUCCUUUAUAUUCUCUCUAGUCUACCCAAUUUUAUCUAUUCGAUGAUUCUGAUUUUUGUUAUCUAUCUUUCUUUUUUUUCAAUCUCUUAGCAAAUUUGCGUGAUCGAUCCAAGAAUUAUUUAUCCUGUUUAAGCAGUACAACUAGUGAAGUAGAAAUUUGCAGAUUGCCCCUAUUAUCACCCUCAUUGAUAUGCAUUUCUUUUGAGUUGACCUCCGUUCUUGUUUUUAUUUUAAUCUUUUAAUUCUUUUUCUUGAUGUUCUCGUUUUACUGUAGUUGAUUUGGGUAAAUGUUAUGGUUAGGCUUGAGUGGUGUAAUCCCUACCCAGAAAUCAACAUUUCCUGUAGUCCUUAUAUAAUUGAAGAGUAGAAAGGAACGAACAGAGCAUCCUUGGUUUUAGUCUUACAGAUUCUUGUCAAAUGCCCAUUGACACGCUGCCAUCCAUAACCUAAAGUAUGAGAGCAAGUAGGUCUUCCUUUAGCACUAGCGAUGGGCAUGAAGAAGUUCAUUUUCACAGUGCUGCUUAUAUUUCAAAUUGGGACGAUUAUGAUAUAUGAGCAAAUAAACCUAUGAUAUUUUCUGACCAAUUGUGAUUGUAUAACAUUUUCAUGUGUGUUUUAUUGUGCACUAAUUGGCUUGUAAGAUUGGUUUAUAUGAUGCAAAGUAAUUGAACCUUUGUCUAUUCAGUUGAAGAAUAAUCUUUCACAAAGUGAUGUAUACAAGAUGGCUGAUUAGGUUGUGAAAAGUUAUAUCGACUUUGUUCACUUGUAAUCUUGGUUUACAUGUUCAUAGGUUAGAGAAUUUGUAUUCUGAAGCAUAGGGUUUUGUGAGGAGUAAUGUAAUUUUGUUACAGGCUUUAUUAAUAUAGAUGUAAUGUAAUUCAGCUGAUGCCAAAGAAGAUGGUUCAAAUUUGAGCUGGUUUUGCAUCUUCAUUUUAAUUCUGUUGGCAAUAAUAGAUGGUCCCGUUUACCCAUUUUCAAAUAGAAUGGAAGGUUAUUUGACCCUUUUUCAAAAAAAAUUAUUUUUUCUCUAAUUGAUAUGGAAUCUUUUACUGUGCAUUUUUCGAAUGAAGAACAAGCAGAGCCAUUACCAAAGAAGCAUAGGAAAUACUAAGGCCAUUGAAGUUGGGAUUUUAAGUAUGCCAUCUUUCAUUGGUCACUUACAGCAAGAUGAUGAUGCUAAUAUGGAAAUGCUCCUUUGCUUGUUGAUACAACCUGUGUAUUAAUGGAUUUUUGUAAAUUUUUUCCCUUUUCCUUGUGCAAGUGCCUUGUGUAACAUGUUUAUAUUUAUGUAUGUAUAUGUACAUGUAAAAAAAAAUUGUGAAUUCCGUCAUAAUGUUGUAGUUUGAUUUACACAUUUUGUUUAGUGAAUUUAGCUAAACAAUUAAAUGAAAAGAAAGUCAAAUAUAUGUUUGUUUCAUUUAAAAUAACUUUUUUGAAAUAUUUUCAAGAAAGUGAAUUUAGCUAAACAAUUAAAAGACAAGAAAAAUUCAAAUGUAUGUUUGUUUCGUUUAUAAUAGCUUUUUUGAAAUAUUUCCAGAGAAUCUACCAAACAACAGAAAAUAUUAGUUUUUUUCCAGAAAAGUAAGUCAUUUUCCAAAAAUCAUUUUCCGGAAGCCAUUUUCAAUCAAACAAACGAAGCCUUAGUAUUAUUUCUGUCAUUUGUUUUUUGUGUUUCUUGAGUAUUAGUUAUUUUCUUAUUAGACAUGGUUAGUUUUUAUUUCACUUUAUUUUUAGUAUCAAGUUAUCAUUGUUUUUAUCAUGUUACUUGUUGGUGAAUUUAUUCUUGGGUUAGUUGCUCAAUAUUGUGGUUUAGGUUUUCACUUUGUAUCGGUCUCUGUCAUCUAUUGGACUUAUUGUUUAUUUUUUAUUUUGUUUUUACUUUUUUACUUUUCUUUUAGCAGUUAUUCAAUUAUUUUGCCGAUCAAUGUUCAAUCUUAUAAUUUCAUUUUAGUUUGAUUCAAUUUUCGAUUUGAUUAAGUUUUAUGAUGUUUAGUUGUGUUUUGACUUAGUUCUUAUGCUGACAUUUAGCUAUUAUUUAUUCUUUUUAGGCAUUAUGAUGAACACUAGGAGCAAGUCCAAGGUCGUCGUUUCCACUUCAAAAAAGCGGAAGACUCCAGCACGACAUCAUCAUCGAGUGCUUUCGUUGAUGCCCGUCACCCCUAUCUCUAAUUUCCACAAGGUCCCGAGGAGGAUUUAUAUCAGCAUCUUCGACUGAGGCCAUUCGGAUUAGGUCGUUGUAUUGAUUGGGCUGCUUUAGAUCAUAUACAGUUAGCAAAUCAUGUCAGCUCCAUCAUUGCUACACCUCCUUAAGACUGGUUUUUUUCCAUUAUCGAGCCCACAUACUCGGAGCUGACUUUAGAGUUUUGCUUGGCAUUUAUCGUACAGCAGGUGAUGACGACCAAUGACGAGCUGAGAACCAUUACCUUUAGACUCGGAGGUAUGGCACGACAUAUGAGUGUCCCAGAGUUCGGAGUUGCAUUGGGACUUUACACUGCAGAGAUUAUGAGUGCCGAGGGGUUCCUUCUAUUAUACUAGCACAUCCACUACUCGUCAUCUCUUUGCUGCGUAGAUCUUACGGUGAGCAUGACGUCUUAUGACCCGAGUCGGUCAAAGGAAACUUCUCUUCCUCUGGCCUUACGCUACAUUCAUACCAUCUUGGCUCAUACAAUGAUCGGUAGAAGGGAGAGCACUGGAGUCAUCGGUACAACCGAUGCAUUUUUUGUGGAGACUGGCCACGGGACGCACCUUUGAUCUCGCCUAUUUUAUCGCCGUCGUUGUUCGUCAUCAGACAGAGCGCAAUAGGAGGGGACCCAUAUAUUUUAAAAUCAAAAUACCCAUUAAUUAAUCACAAACCAAACCAUUACCACCCUUAGAAACUUUUAUAUUUCAAUUAU